UACAGGCUUAACACAUGCAAGUCGAGGGGCAGCAUGGUCUUAUCUUGCUAAGGCCGAUGGCGACCGGCGCACGGGUGAGUAACACGUAUCCAACCUGCCGUCUACUCUUGGACAGCCUUCUGAAAGGAAGAUUAAUACAAGAUGGCAUCAUGAGUCCGCAUGUUCACAUGAUUAAAGGUAUUCCGGUAGACGAUGGGGAUGCGCUCCAUUAGAUAGUAGGCGGGGUAACGGCCCACCUAGUCUUCGAUGGAUAGGGGUUCUGAGAGGAAGGUCCCCCACAUUGGAACUGAGACACGGUCCAAACUCCUACGGGAGGCAGCAGUGAGGAAUAUUGGUCAAUGGGCGAGAGCCUGAACCAGCCAAGUAGCGUGAAGGAUGACUGCCCUAUGGGUUGUAAACUUCUUUUAUAAAGGAAUAAAGUCGGGUAUGGAUACCCGUUUGCAUGUACUUUAUGAAUAAGGAUCGGCUAACUCCGUGCCAGCAGCCGCGGUAAUACGGAGGAUCCGAGCGUUAUCCGGAUUUAUUGGGUUUAAAGGGAGCGUAGAUGGAUGUUUAAGUCAGUUGUGAAAGUUUGCGGCUCAACCGUAAAAUUGCAGUUGAUACUGGAUAUCUUGAGUGCAGUUGAGGCAGGCGGAAUUCGUGGUGUAGCGGUGAAAUGCUUAGAUAUCACGAAGAACUCCGAUUGCGAAGGCAGCCUGCUAAGCUGCAACUGACAUUGAGGCUCGAAAGUGUGGGUAUCAAACAGGAUUAGAUACCCUGGUAGUCCACACGGUAAACGAUGAAUACUCGCUGUUUGCGAUAUACUGCAAGCGGCCAAGCGAAAGCGUUAAGUAUUCCACCUGGGGAGUACGCCGGCAACGGUGAAACUCAAAGGAAUUGACGGGGGCCCGCACAAGCGGAGGAACAUGUGGUUUAAUUCGAUGAUACGCGAGGAACCUUACCCGGGCUUAAAUUGCAGAUGAAUUACGGUGAAAGCCGUAAGCCGCAAGGCAUCUGUGAAGGUGCUGCAUGGUUGUCGUCAGCUCGUGCCGUGAGGUGUCGGCUUAAGUGCCAUAACGAGCGCAACCCUUGUUGUCAGUUACUAACAGGUUCCGCUGAGGACUCUGACAAGACUGCCAUCGUAAGAUGUGAGGAAGGUGGGGAUGACGUCAAAUCAGCACGGCCCUUACGUCCGGGGCUACACACGUGUUACAAUGGGGGGUACAGAGGGCCGCUACCACGCGAGUGGAUGCCAAUCCCCAAAACCUCUCUCAGUUCGGACUGGAGUCUGCAACCCGACUCCACGAAGCUGGAUUCGCUAGUAAUCGCGCAUCAGCCACGGCGCGGUGAAUACGUUCCCGGGCCUUGUACACACCGCCCGUCAAGCCAUGGGAGCCGGGGGUACCUGAAGUGCGUAACCGCGAGGAGCGCCCUAGGGUAAAACUGGUGACUGGGGCUA
rnacentral:rRNA from 1 species